GAUGCAGAUCUCCACUACCGCCUGGUCAUUGUCAUUGGUCAGGUAGUCCUGUAGCCAGAUGAGAAACCUGUGAGGUCAUAACUGAAUACAGAUGAUAGAAGCAUGCACUGUCUAUUAACCUUUGGCGUGCAAAUGAUUGUGAUUUCUGAAUAGGAGCAGAACUUUCAAGGAAUUUAAAUCUCUGUUUUGCAUAUAUAUAUUUGAAUAUAUUAGAUCUAUAUUUUGGCAAAUGCAAGAACUGCUCCCUGAUUUUCGAUUCUUAAUACUAAACAUGAAAAAUAAAUAACGAUAUCAGUUUUGUCGGUGCAUACGUUUUUAACAUAUUAACUGUUCAAAUCCAUUCAGCAAAAUAUUACACAUUUCCUCAAAGAAUAGCACAGAAAAUGUAAGUAAUGUUUGAGAAUGAGUCUGGGCCUGAUUAUGAGGCAUGUUUGGAAUGAUAAUAGAAUGCAAGUGACAGUGCAAAGGAGUACAAUGAAGGCCCUGGAGAGAGAGAGAGAGAGAGAGAGAGAGAGAGAGUUCUUAACCUUUUUAACAUUUUAGCCAAGAUUUACAUCCAUAAAACCAAAAUAACACAUUCAAAUCCCUCAUAUAUUACUUUCUGCCAUAUUUGAAAAGCAUAUUAAAUAUAAAAACACAGAAUAAGAAACUCGAAAAAACUACAAAAGUUUUGAAGCUUUUCAAAAAAAAUAUAUAUAUAAUUACAAUAAAUAACAUUAGCUAACACCUACCCCAACCCUAACCUUACAAUAAAAAUAUAAUCAACUAUUUUGAACGUGACAAAAAUUGUGCGGUAUUGAAGUGCGCAUGCCCAGUGGACGUAGCCGUAUCCUAGUCAAAACCCGCUUGACCGAGAUUAACUUCCGUUCUGUGUUUGUCAUCGGUCUGUCUAGUGGCUAGUAAUAUGGCGCCUACUAAAAAAGCACUGAGAGUUAAGGUGAUGACUAGACUGAAGCAAGGAUCAAGUUGUUGUGUUGUGGGAUGCAACGUGAUCUCUGGAACAAAUGCCCUUUCAAAAAUAAAAAUGUUUCGGUUUCCCAGAGACGAGGAGAGACGAGGAGCAUGGACCGCCGCUGUGCUCAGAGAGGUUUGGCAGCCAUGCAAGAAUACAAGGAUCUGUAGCACUCACUUCAUUACAGGUGCACCAUCAGUGGACCCAUUACACCCAGAUUAUGUUCCAUCAAUAUUCGAACACAUAAACGGCGUCAGUGGUUCACAGAAGAAACAGAAGAGAACAUCUGUGGUAAAGUCUAUCCUUGCUGACACUGGAGAAAGAUGCACUGCUGUGGGUACAGAUCUUUCAUUGGCAGACAUCGAGCAGUUACAAAAUGAAAAAUUUGAAUUGCAAAGAAAAGUUGCUUUACUGAAGAUGAAACUGGAAUUGCAAGAAAACGAGUACAAGAUCAGAGUUCAAAGUGAAAUGUGAGAUUGUCUUAAACAUCUUUUGUGAAUGGCUCGAUGUGAUGGCAAAAGAGUUACAAUCCGUUGACCAUCCAGAAAAGAUGUCAGAAGACUAGGUUUCCAACAAGUUAGAUGUAAAACAGUUUCACUGAAUGUUUUGCCACCAAAUGUGUCCGUCUUCAUGUACCAGCAUCUACAAAAGGGAUAAAAAUGGACAUAUUCAGUAAUAAACUAUAAAUUAACAGUUUUAUUGACUGAUAUAUAAAUACUGUAGACUACAAUUUCUGUUGCUUUUACUGUUCUCAAUGUAAAAAGUAAAAUAGCUUGAUGUUUCAAAAACACAAACAACAUGCUUUUUUUAGAAUAAACGCAAACCUUUUUUUUUCAUGUUAGACUGGUUUCAAAUCAGCACUGUUGAGCUGCUUUUGGGACCAUUUUCAUUUAGCUAUCACUUAACUGCAGUUUUCUAUUUGCAAAUGCCUCCAUACCUUUUGGCAGCGUGUGUUUAAAUAAAAGCUAAAAGCAUAGCCUUUGCAUACAGCUAUUUUGAUGACCCUAAUUGAUUUAGUGGGGGAAGGGAGAGCGGAGCUUGUAGCUUGAUGUUUUUGCAUGGUUUCAAGAAUUGAGCUACUGGUUGUGGAUCAGUCUGAAAGGAAAUUUGAAAUGUACAUUAUUCAUAAAUAUAUUAUAAUUUUUAAUAUUAAUAUAAAAAUAAGGAAGACACAUUUAUAUUAUUAAAUAUCAUAUUAUUAAAUAUAAUGAUAGUUAAAAUAUCUCCACUUCUCGGUAACCUGUGACCAAAUCGUACCGACAUGGCUACACAACUCUCUAUUGCUGCAUAGAUCAGAUAGAUAUAUUAUCAACAGAAUAAAUUCCAGCAUUGCAAUAGCUAAUCUAAAUGCUAACCACUGCCUCAGUGGUUGGAGCAUGGCGCUACCAAUGCCAAGGUCAUGGGUUCGAUUCCAGGGCAGAGCUCCAGACUAAUUUUCCCCACUGGUCGCACCAACUUAUAAUUUGAUCUUUUUUACAGUGAUUAUAAUGAUCUCAGUUGAUGAAUCGUUCUGUUAAUUUGUCACUGUCUUUUAAAAUAGGCACUUAAAAUUUGCGGUUUUAACACCUGAGAGCCAAAUAAAUCCAAAAUAAAUGCAAAGAAACUUUUUAUUUGUUACUUUAUACAGUUAAUAUUUAGUUUUAUUUUCAAGUUAAAUAUAGGCUAUGAAAUGAUCUGACACAAAAUUGUUGAUUGUUUCAACAAAAUGAAUUGGUUCAAAUCAGUCAUUACAUCGCGAAUCGGACAUAACGCGCUGUUUGUUUUUCUCAGCUGUUUCGCAAAAGAUAGAAGUUAACAUGGAAAACACUUCACUGGAUAUGAUAUUUCCUUUAUCUCAGCAGGAUGUGCGGAACACUUGUCAGGGAAGAAAAGGAGACAUGUUUUUGUGAACAGGCAAUUAUCACAAGCACGUCAUUUACCAGUCACAAAAUCACAUUAAAUGUUAAAUAAAUAUUUGGUGGGGCAAAAAAUUUUUUGCCACUCCCACCAAUGCGAGACCCGUUAUAAAUUCGUGAGCAUUUUGGUCGCAGUCAAACUCAGAUACAAUUUAUAGUAUAAUGCAUUGUAAGUCCCUUUGGGUAAAAGUGUCUGCCAAAUGUAAAAUGUAAUGUAAAAUGUUACAGAAAGUCAUACUUACCAUGCCAUCCAGAUGGAAUGCCCACACUGGACUUCACCAUUCUUCAUCGUAAACAAUCCAUGUGGAGAAAGUGUCCAACCCGCCUCGAUUUCUCCGUAAACAACACAUGUAUUUCCAUUCAUGUGGGUCAGAAUGCUUUUAACUUUUCCAGAAGGAAAAUAGUUACAGGUACCCAAGCUGCAAUAUGCCUUGAACGCCUCCCUUGUAUGUACACAUUUCUUCUCGUCUAAGGUCACUGGAAGUUCCAUUUGGGCCAUAAAAGCAUGAAUGUGCAACUAAAGUUUGUUUAUGUUGUUGCUGUUGAAAACUUGGAACCAAAAGUUUUGACUAAACAUGUGGACUGAACAUGUGCGACUAUUCUAUAAUACCAUAUAAAAAAGUUUGAAAUAUAGUAGUCUUACACAUUGAAUCCAUCAGUUCACCAGCGUUUGUUAACCAACUACUUAUGGAACAGAUGUGCUUUUUGGAGCUUCAAAAAAACUGAACACUAUUCAACUGGAUUACAAAGCCAAGGAGACCCAGUAUGUAAUUAGUUUAAGAAAAGUCAUACAACUGAUGAGAUUUUACCUUUUUAGUCGGGUACUUGGGUAGACUUAUAUUGAUGGCAAAAAUAAAAAACUUUACGGGUUUAUCUUUGUUUUUCAAAUCUCGGCAUCUUAAUAUCUGCAUCUCCAUAUUGACUUUCAUUUCAUUUAUUGUUUUACAUUAGUUUCUUUACUUUAUGUUUUGAAUAUUUGUUUUUAAGUUACUUUGUGAGUGUAAAAUAAAAUGUUAUUAUGUAAACGAAAUAAAAUGCAAAAAAUUGUA